rnacentral:lncRNA from 1 species
GUGGUCCAACAUACUUAUUGGGCUCGUCUACACAGGUGUGCGCUGCUAAGGUGAUGAAUAGAUGUGGGAUGGAUCACAUUCAAUUUCGCUACAAGUGGUAUGAGGGGGUGCGCGAGAGGGGUACAAUUCGCAGGCCUCGUGGGUGGAGGCGCACACGGGGGCCUCGUGUCACAGGUGGUAAGACACCCAGGACGUGGUGGAGUAAAUAUUAGAGUCAAGCAAGGCUCUUGAAGGACUCAAAAAGUAUUUGAAUCGGGUGGAGCAUGGCUCGGGAUGGCUCUAGGAAAAAUUGCUGGGAGUAGUAUUAGAGUCGAGCAAGAGAGCUCUUGAAGGAUUCAAAGAAGGUGUGCUUUACUUGUGUGAUGGGUAUUCAAGUGAAACACAUCGGUUAAAUUCAAGAGUGUAGAUGGCUUAAUAAGUAUGGUAGA